AUAUGAAUGUUUUCCUUAUUUACUUGAUACGAUAAGAGCGCACUCACAAACAGUUACUAUUAACCCAUUCUCUCAUACCUGACAACUAAGCGUGCAUAUACAAAACAAACAAAGCAGGGAUAUCUGCCAUCAACAAAUUGGUAAACACCGAGAUAAAACACUGUGCAAAAAUUUGUACUGCGGAAAAAGUGUUCAGCAAGGAACCUGUCAGGCAUGGAACAAAUUCGAAUUCGACAUCUGUAAACUCUCACACAGCCAAGGAUUCGCAAGAAAAGGCUCAGAAAAAACUCCACUCAAGGUUGGUAGCAUUGCACCGCUUCAUUGCGUUUCCGGAAAGCAGCACAGACAGUGCAGGAAAAUUAAAGUGCGCCAUUGGUGUGAAGAAGCCGCUCCCCGGAGAAUCAGCAAUUCUCGGACGAAUCUGAAGUGUCGUUCCGCAGAAAGCCAGCCAGGAAAAACCGUCUCGAACCCAGAAUCGAGAAGCAGACGGAGGCGGACACGCUAGACGAGGAGUUGGCAGUCGCCACCAAUUGGUUGCCUCAAAAUCCGCCAAUCGGGAUUCGCUAAUCCGCGGACGAAAGGCAGGUGUUCGACUCCGUGCACGUCGAACAAAGUUCCGAUCCAUACCAAAGCGUUCGCCAAUCAGCUUAUUUCGAAAAGCGGUGGCAAGAAAACGAGCAAGAUCCAGGAAAGGGGUCAGAAGCACUGACCCCUUUUUUCGUCAUCCAUCGUUUCCGGCGCACAGCACAGCAGCGAGCAGGUGAUUCAGGAGAGAUCCUGUCCCAGGACGCGGGGUUCUCAUCGAGGCGGGGUUCCUUCUGUGAGCCUUCAGGUGAAGCCAGGCGGAGAAGAAACCAUCAACAAACAAAGGCUUGUUUCGGUCGGGACCGGAAGACUCAGCCUAAGCUACAUCCAACGCCCACGCGGUCUAGGGGGAAACCUCUCCGAGAAGGAGGAAUUUCGUUGCCGACGUUGGCCGGUAAUUGGUCGACGGAUGACAGGAGCGGGCAAGCGUUCCCGAAAUCUGAAGGUGCGGAUCAAGUGUCAGCCAGGACGAGCUGCGUGGGUGUGCGGUGUGCCGAGCAGAAGCGGCGAGAUUGCAUCGCCAGACGGUUGGCUGGCGAAUCAGCUCACCAGCGUGGUGGGGGUCAGCGGAAUCCCCCGAUCCAUGCUCCGAGGGAUUGACACUGCAUCGGGCAGGAAAGGCAGGGGGAUCAGGACAGCUCCUAGCGAACCCAUUCGAUCUUCAGCAGUUGGUUUUCGGCUGUGAGUGAUCCCGCCAAGACAGCACGAGCAUGGGCCAAAGCGGAAGUGAGCGUCGCAAAGAAGUCCAAGCACGGCCGAAUGACGAGGAGCAACAAUAUAUGUAAGUCGCUUUGCUUGCAUUAUCAUGGGAGGGAGAAAAAUGGGUUUUAUUCAAAAUUUUAGCAACCAUUGAAUAAAGUUGCACCUAAAACUGUUUGAGCUAGAGAAUUUCAUUUCUCAAGGGACCUGCAACACUAUAAAUAAGUUACGUAAAAAUAUUCAUACGUAUCAGCACAAACCACCCUACGUAACCAUGCGGGCGAUUCCUUCAGUCUGCUAUAUAGGACGGCAGAUUUCGAGAGCACGACUAGGAGAGCCAUGGAUUUUGUUCGAUUUAAGCUCUACCGGGGGGUUGUGUUAGCUUGCUACAAAACGUUUGAAAAUCUGGUCGAAUUCCGACAUCUUUUAGUAAAUUCGGAAAACGUUGCUACAAAUUUUUGAAAAACCACAUAAAAAGCAUAUCAAUUGAUUGUAGAGAUGAAAAUCUAUCAUUGGGUUAAAAAGUGGGCAGGUUUCAUGAAUAGUUUUAAGGAAUCGCGAUAACAAAAUGAGAAACGCGCGCAUCGUAACAGCCGGGUAUGAAAACUACGAUUUUUUUUCUUGUUUUUAUUCUCGUAUUACGAAACAGUAAUAUUUGAGAUAUUAUGUGUAUUCAGUGAAAAUGAUGAUCAUGUUAUCAAAAUAAAACUAAAAUUUGAAUUUUGGAAAUCGGUUCAGUUGAGAAUGAGAUACAACACUGCAAAACAAAAGUUCAAAAAAAGAAGCAUUUUUUCAGAAAUUCCACGCAAACGACCAAAAAUUCCAUUUGACCUUCAAUUUUUCUAUAUGUUUAAACAGAUUUAUUUUUCACAUUUUCGAAACUUAUAAAAUAAUUUCAAUACGUCAAAGCAAUUAGAAGAUACUCUUAAACUCCAACCCGUUUUUAAAAAGAAAUUCUCGUCGUGUUUACAAAUUUAUUCAUGAUUUUAAUUUUAAGCAUUAAAACAUGCUGGCUGGGUUAGAAAAUACUGAUUAAAAUUCAACAUGACUAGAAACUAAUAGUAUUAAGAAGUGUUUUACAUAAAAUUAAAAGUGUGGUCGAUGUUAAUUUUUAAGUUUAAAUUCAGAUAAAAGGCUUUAGCGUAGGAUCAUCGAUAAAUAAAUAAAUAAAUAAAAAACUAACAAUUCCGCUUUUCAGUAAUUUUCACAAUUUCUAUCUCGUCACCACCUGAAAAGGUACCGACAAUUGUCACCUAAAACCCGUCACCCGAAUCGUCGCCUCACCCAUG